GGGUUCGUAGCUUAAUGGAUAAAGCGCCAAUCUGGCUGAUUGGGAGAUAUCGGUUCAAGUCCGAUCGUAAUCC
rnacentral:tRNA from 1 species